AUUGAACGCUGGCGGCAUGCCUUACACAUGCAAGUCGAACGGUAACGCGGGGCAACCUGGCGACGAGUGGCGAACGGGUGAGUAAUCCAUCGGAACGUGCCCAGCUGUGGGGGAUAACUGCUCGAAAGAGCAGCUAAUACCGCAUACGACCUGAGGGUGAAAGCGGGGGAUCGCAAGACCUCUCGCAAUUGGAGCGGCCGAUGUCGGAUCAGCUAGUUGGUGGGGUAAAGGCCCACCAAGGCAACGGUCCGUAGCUGGUCUGAGAGGACGACCAGACACACAGGGACUGAGACACGGCCAAGACGCCGACGGGAGUCAGCAGUGGGGAAUUUUGGACAAUGGACGCAAGUCUGAUCCAGCCAUGCCGCGUGCGGGAAGAAGGCCUUCGGGUUGUAAACCGCUUUUGUCAGGGAAGAAAUCUUCUGGGUUAAUACCUCGGGAGGAUGACGGUACCUGAAGAAUAAGCACCGGCUAACUACGUGCCAGCAGCCGCCGUAAGAC
rnacentral:rRNA from 1 species